rnacentral:rRNA from 1 species
UGGCGGACGGGUGAGUAAUGUCUGGGAAACUGCCCGAUGGAGGGGGAUAACUACUGGAAACGGUAGCUAAUACCGCAUAACGUCGCAAGACCAAGGAGGGGGACCUUAGGGCCUCUUGCCAUCGGAUGUGCCCAGAUGGGAUUAGCUAGUAGGUGGGGUAAUGGCUCACCUAGGCGACGAUCCCUAGCUGGUCUGAGAGGAUGACCAGCCACACUGGAACUGAGACACGGUCCAG